rnacentral:lncRNA from 1 species
GAUGUUCGGAUCCUCCUCCUUCUUCUACUUCCGUCUAGCCCUUCAAGAAGAGGUUCAAAGUUUUUCUUGAUCCUAUUACAAAUUGUAUCCUGCAUACACAAGAAAACAAAACCCUAGAAAGCAAUUGUUAGCACAAAACAAAAACAAAAAUAAAAAAAAUAAGUCAAAGUUAAUCAAUAAUCACACAAAUAGAAUAGUUAAUCCACAAG